rnacentral:lncRNA from 1 species
GGUGAAUAAUAUUACAUUGUAUAGACCCUAUUUCUUAGAAAUGUAUGAUGUUUUCUAGUAUUUAAUCUUAUAUGUAAUCUGACAACAGAUAUCUGUAUACAGAAAUAUUUGGGCUCAUCUCUUUAUAUUGGAGACCACAUUUUAAGACAAAAAUUAUUUUAUUUUUCCAUAAACUGGCUUAUAAGCAGUGCUUUUGUUGUUGUUGUUGUUUUUGAUUUUUUUUUUUGGUUUGUUUUGUUUUUCAGAGAGUCUCGCUCUGUUGCCCAGCCUGGAGUGCAGUGGCACGAUCUCAGCUCACUGCAACCUCUGCCUCCCUGGUUCAAACGAUUCUCAUGCCUCAGCCUCCCAAGUAGCUGGGACUACAGGCAUGCACCACCAUGCCUAGCUAAUUUUUGUAUUUUUAGUAGAAACGGGAUUUCACCAUGUUAACCAGGCUGGUCUCAAACUCCUGGCCUCAAGUGAUCCACCCACCUCAGCCUCCCAAAUUGCUGGGAUUACACGUGAGAGCCACCGUGCCCAGACAUAAGUGGUUUGUUUUAAUAUGUUUUGAAUUUGGGGUAGAAGCUUUCCAGAAUGUCUGAUAUCUCUAGCCUGUGCUUACCAGGACAGUUACUACACACUACAACAUUAGUUUUAGUUAAGAUGGCGAUUCAACUUUGACACCAAACAGAAGACAAGACUCUGCACACCCAGAAAUCUUCUUGUCAACUAUAAUUAGCUCCUCCAGAGAAGAGUCAUAUCAGAGCCAGAAAAUCAGUCCCUGGGCCUGAUUCACACCGGCUCCUUGGUGAAGAUCUGGGGAGGACAACUCCACAGAUUAUAUUUUUAUGAGAACAAGUAUCACUCCAGUGAAAUACAGAGUGAUACAGUAUGAACUACUGGAUCUGUUCACAAUGUGCCUUAGAAUAAUAACAUGUCAUUUGAAUAAACAAACGUUCUUUGUUCAAGUGUUUAGAUAACUGUGGUUGGGAUUUAAGCACUUAAUAGCAUGCACUAGAGUCACAGGUGUUCUGAUAAGAUUAAGUCUCAGCUCCAUGGAGAUAAGAUGCUGUUGUGGAUUCUGUGGCAUGUCACCCAGGACAUGUAUGCUGAUACCUGGUGUGUUCCUGCUGAGAGCUCACAGCUCAGUCCCUCUCCGAGAACUGACACAGCUGAAGGAAUUCAGCUCACCUAUAAUUACGCUCAGGGAAAU